GGAGACGCGGCCUCCACGCGGUGCACACCUCACCGAGGGCGGGCGGGCGGUCCCCCACGACCAGGACCCGAACCCAGCACCACACCGGAGAACGGGAGAAGUCGGAGCCAGGCAUCUCCUCUUCCCACUGGCCCGUCCGGCAAACCCAGGGGGCGGCCGUCCCAAGACCCCCCCACCCAGACCCGCCCUUCCCGUCUCGGGGGCACGGGAAGCAGGAAAGACGGGAAAGGGACCCGACGGGUGCCCCGGGGCCGCGGCACGAGGCACGCGACCCGGCGGCGCCGCCCUCGGCGCCCGAGACCCAGGGGCGCGCGCAAACACUGGACCGAAACCGACGCCCCGCUGGAGUCUCUUCCGGAGAGGGGGUGGUAGCCGUUUCUCAGGC
rnacentral:lncRNA from 1 species